rnacentral:lncRNA from 1 species
CUUGAGAGGAAGACGAGGCUCUCACCCCUCUAGACUUCCUCCAGCGUCAGUUUUCCUCGUAUUUCACAUAGUUUCUCUCACUUUCUCUGUCUCUCUCCGAACUUCUCACUCCAUGUGACAAGAAGACGACGUUGGGAGUGUGACUGCACUCUGACUCUCGCAGUGAUGGCGGAGAUGCUGGCUGUGUCCUUUCUGACUGCUUUCAUCAUGGCUGUCGUUCAAUUAGUCAGAUUAUGGAUGAAGCUGCAAGCGGAGUCUGUCAUGUGGUGUAAAACACAUGGGGCAGCCUGUGAGGUGUGUGUGCAGCACCUUCCUGAGUCCUGGACCCGAGGGGCAGGUGGGUCAGUGCUGGGGUCCAUGCGGGCUUGACCCUCCCCGAGUUCUGACGUUACUGUGAUUGCCAGAUUUGUUGUGUAAACUCAGCUCAGAAAUAUACUUUUCUUCCAAACCUCCGGCAGCCG